rnacentral:rRNA from 1 species
AAAUUGAAGAGUUUGAUCAUGGCUCAGAUUGAACGCUGGCGGCAGGCCUAACACAUGCAAGUCGAGCGGAAACGAGUUAUCUGAACCUUCGGGGAACGAUAGCGGCGUCGAGCGGCGGACGGGUGAGUAAUGCCUAGGAAAUUGCCCUGAUGUGGGGGAUAACCAUUGGAAACGAUGGCUAAUACCGCAUGAUGCCUACGGGCCAAAGAGGGGGACCUUCGGGCCUCUCGCGUCAGGAUAUGCCUAGGUGGGAUUAGCUAGUUGGUGAGGUAAGGGCUCACCAAGGCGACGAUCCCUAGCUGGUCUGAGAGGAUGAUCAGCCACACUGGAACUGAGACACGGUCCAGACUCCUACGGGAGGCAGCAGUGGGGAAUAUUGCACAAUGGGCGCAAGCCUGAUGCAGCCAUGCCGCGUGUGUGAAGAAGGCCUUCGGGUUGUAAAGCACUUUCAGUCGUGAGGAAGGCGGCGUCGUUAAUAGCGGCGUUGUUUGACGUUAGCGACAGAAGAAGCACCGGCUAACUCCGUGCCAGCAGCCGCGGUAAUACGGAGGGUGCGAGCGUUAAUCGGAAUUACUGGGCGUAAAGCGCAUGCAGGUGGUUUGUUAAGUCAGAUGUGAAAGCCCGGGGCUCAACCUCGGAAUUGCAUUUGAAACUGGCAGACUAGAGUACUGUAGAGGGGGGUAGAAUUUCAGGUGUAGCGGUGAAAUGCGUAGAGAUCUGAAGGAAUACCGGUGGCGAAGGCGGCCCCCUGGACAGAUACUGACACU